rnacentral:piRNA from 1 species
UGAGAUGUGAACAUAUAUUGCGCCUGUCAU